AGUGAGAACUUCAUUGAUGA
rnacentral:misc_RNA from 1 species